rnacentral:lncRNA from 1 species
CCUUGCUUGCUCUCAUUACUCUCUCUCUCUCUAUCCUUCUCUCUCUAGAAAACACAUCGAUUGCUCCUGUUUCUCCAUAUGCCAUGCUCGCCUCCUCCCUCGCUUCUCUCACUUCCCAGAAAAAGGCAACGGGAGGGGAGGAGAAAAUUCUAGUGAGAGAAGAGAUCUCCGCUUUCCAGUAAUGCCCCUCUAGCCCGACCCGUCCUCUCGCGAGAUUUGAGCGCCUUCCAAAACAGCAGCUUUCUGAACCCUUCUUUCGCAGACAGGCUCAACCACCUCUUUGUCUCUCUCCAUCAUUUUGUC